rnacentral:rRNA from 1 species
GCAGAGGGGGGUGGAAUUCCACGUGUAGCAGUGAAAUGCGUAGAGAUGUGGAGGUACACCAAUGGCGAAGGCAGCCCCCUGGGUCGAUACUGACGCUCAUGCACGAAAGCGUGGGUAGCAAACAGGAUUAGAUACCCUGGUAGUCCACGCCCUAAACGAUGUCAACUAGGUGUUGGGAGGGUAAAACCUUUUAGUGCCGUAGCUAACG